GACGAACGCUGGCGGCGUGCUUAACACAUGCAAGUCGAACGGAAAGGCCCUGCUUUUGCGGGGUGCUCGAGUGGCGAACGGGUGAGUAACACGUGAGUAACCUGCACUUGACUUUGGGAUAACUUCAGGAAACUGGGGCUAAUACCGGAUAGGAGCUCCUGCUGCAUGGUGGGGGUUGGAAAGUUUCGGCGGUUGGGGAUGGACUCGCGGCGUAUCAGCUUGUUGGUGGGGUAGUGGCUUACCAAGGCUUCGACGGGUAGCCGGCCUGAGAGGGUGACCGGGCACACUGGAACUGCGACACGGUGCAGACGCCUACGGGAGGCGGCAGUGGGGAAUCGUCAGCAAUGGGGGAAAGGCUGAUGGAGCAAUGCCGGGUGAGUGAUGAAGGUCUUAGGAUCGUAAAACUCGGUGAGUAGGGAGGAAAAGAUGUGGAAGUACAUGUGACCAGCUGGACGGGAACUAAUGAGAAAGCGACGGAUAACUACGUG
rnacentral:rRNA from 1 species